ensembl:ncRNA lncRNA:CR44301 long non-coding RNA:CR44301
AGAAAUUUAAAAGCAAACAACUAUAUUACUAUAACUAUAAAUAUUUCCAUUCUGCAGGUUUAGAGUCAUAUUUUACCAAUCUGAAACUAAUCACCUUCGAAGUUUAAACAGCUGCAGACGUAUGAACUCGAUAAUGAGCGACUCACAUGCACUUUUGCCCGACAAUUCGCCAUGAAAGGCAUUAAUUUGCCUUUAAUUUAUAGGUCAUUAUCCAUAUCCAAUUACGUUGGUCGAAUAAUAAAUCAACGCCAGAUUCUGGCGCCUAGAUAUCUAGAUAUCGAAUUUAUUUUUACAGCUGC